UAAGUAGGCGGUGGAAAAUGAACCAAAUGGGAUUCCUUAAGUAAUUGCGAAUGAACAAGGAAAUGCUCAGCUUGAAAAAUGGGGCCUUUGGCUUUGAAUUGUAAUUUUGAAAUGUAUUGCCAAUGGAGGCGCAGGUGCAAGCCUAUUGAAAGAAAGCGUCAAUGAGGGUGAAAUUCCUUUUUGUCAUUUGCAGUCCUCCGUGCACGGUAUAUAUUUGACGAGUCACACUCCUCGGCAUUGGAAUGCAAAGUGGGUGGUAAAUUCCAUGUAAAGGUAAAUAUAUUAUUGAGACUGAUAGCAAACAAGUACCAUGAGGGAAAUAUGAAAAGGACUUUGAAAAGGGAAUUAAAAGAGUCUGCAUUUGCUGAACAGAAAGCAAACAGAAUUGAUGUGCUUGGUGAGAUUGUUGUGCCCACUCUGUCAUUUAUGUCGGAUGUGGGUGCGAUGGUUCUUACCUUGAAUGUCAGCUUCUAUUUCUGCAAAUCAUUACCCUUGCACAUGAAUGGUAAUUUGCCUGCGGGUAUUGGAAUGUGUGUGUUUGCAAUGAUUUGUGAUUUGAUGCAUGUGGUUGGUGGACUUUGUAUGUGCUGUUUUGCCAACGGGGAAGGGACUCUUCCUUGAGCACUGCAAGCCCUUGCACAUUAAUGCUGGCAAAAUGUUUCUGCUUGACCCG
rnacentral:rRNA from 1 species